rnacentral:rRNA from 1 species
UCCUACGGGAGGCAGCAGUAGGGAAUAUUGCUCAAUGGGGGAAACCCUGAAGCAGCAACGCCGCGUGGAGGAUGAAGGUCUUCGGAUCGUAAACCUCUGUCAGCAGGGAAGAACGGUCACUGUGCUAAUCAGCAGUGAAUUGACGGUACCUGCAAAGGAAGCACCGGCUAACUCCGUGCCAGCAGCCGCGGUAAUACGGAGGGUGCGAGCGUUAAUCGGAAUUACUGGGCGUAAAGCGCUCGUAGGCGGUAUGUCAAGUCAAGGGUGAAAUCCCCGCGCUCAACGUGGGAACUGCCUUUGAAACU